rnacentral:rRNA from 1 species
GACGAACGCUGGCGGCGUGCUUAACACAUGCAAGUCGAACGGAAAGGCCCUGCUCUUGUGGGGUGCUCGAGUGGCGAACGGGUGAGUAACACGCGAGUAACCUGCCCUUGUCUGUGGGAUAACUCCAGGAAACUGGGGCUAAUACCGGAUAGGAGCUCCUGCUGCAUGGUGGGGGUUGGAAAGUUUCGGCGGUUGGGGAUGGACUGGCGGCUUAUCAGCCUGAUGGUCGGGUAGUGGCUUACCAAGGUUUAGACGGCUAGGCCGCCUGAGAGGGGAACCGGGGACGUAGGGCCUAAGCUACGGACCAGACUGCAAUAGGACGCAAAGGUUGAAAAUAUGACGCAGCAAAGCGGAGCCUGGGGCAGCGGCGCUCCGAGCGGGAAGCUGGGCUUCUGGGGAAGAACAGAUUUCGCCUGUAACGGGGCGGGAGUGACGGUACUGGAUAAAAAAGCAACGGCUAACUACGUG